GAUGAACGCUAGCGGCAGGCUUAACACAUGCAAGUCGAGGGGUAUAGUUCUUCGGAAUUAGAGACCGGCGCACGGGUGCGUAACGCGUAUGCAAUCUACCUUUCACAGAGGGAUAGCCCCAGAGAAAUUUGGAUUAAUACCUCAUAGUAUAGCAGUUUCGCAUGAAACCACUAUUAAAGUCACAACGGUGAAAGAUGAGCAUGCGUCCCAUUAGCUAGUUGGUAAGGUAACGGCUUACCAAGGCAACGAUGGGUAGGGGUCCUGAGAGGGAGAUCCCCCACACUGGUACUGAGACACGGACCAGACUCCUACGGGAGGCAGCAGUGAGGAAUAUUGGACAAUGGGCGCAAGCCUGAUCCAGCCAUGCCGCGUGCAGGAUGACGGUCCUAUGGAUUGUAAACUGCUUUAUACAGGAAGAAACACUCCGACGUGUCGGAGCUUGACGGUACUGUAAGAAUAAGGAUCGG
rnacentral:rRNA from 1 species